rnacentral:lncRNA from 10 species
GUGCAUUAUUAAUUUCCUACAUGGUUACUUUUUUUUUGUAUCCAUGUCUCCCCAGUCAACUAUAUCCUUUCCAUAUGGAGUCUUAAAGUCAUAUAAAUUAAAUGAGAACAAUGUGUUAUACAGGAAUAAGGGAAUAGUUGCUGGAUUUUUUUUUUAAAUAAAAUGACUUCAAUCGGUAGGUAUUUAUGGAAAAACACUAGAAUCUUUAUAAAUAUCUUUAUGCUUAAAUAUAUUUUAAUUGGCUGCACUAAUAAAAGAGAAGGACUUCAACAGAAGCCUUGGGAUUAAUAAUUACUUUGCUAAAAAUGAUGAAUUCUUGGCUGGUAUGUUUGCAGGGAUCGGGCUGUGAGUCCCUGAAUGGCUGGAACCCUGGCAGAGAGGAGCCCGGAGUGUCGAAAGAGGGGCAUCACAGAACAGAUGCAUCCUACAGAGGCUGGAGGACUCCGAGCUUGGGGAAGAGACAGUUAAAGCUUCCCCGUGAGAGCGAGUUAUAUCAUGCAGCGCCAGUGCCAGGUCAGCAGUCUGGCUGGAGCUGGACCGGCUGGUGGCGCCAGGCAGUGCCAAGCACCCCUGGCAGCCCUGCAGAGGGUUCUCAAAUCCAGAUUUCAUUCUGCAGUCCCGGCAGUGCUUUGACGACUGCCUCACUAAAGGAAGCUAAAAGCUGUGCCGAUGCCUCCCAGACGAGCCUCGUUGGAAGCACAGAACCUUCACGACUCGGAGCCGCUGACACGGUGACAAAGGGAGCCCUGCUCAGGAGAAAGAGUAAAUGA